rnacentral:tRNA from 1 species
GGAGAGAUAGCUCAGUGGUUUAGAGCACUAGCUGCUCUUCCAGAGGACCUAAGUUCAAUUCCUAGUAUCCCCU